UGAGGAAUAUUGGUCAAUGGGCGGAAGCCUGAACCAGCCAUCCCGCGUGAAGGAAGAAGGCCUUAUGGGUUGUAAACUUCUUUUCUGUUUGAGGAAUAAGCUUGUCGAGACAAGUGAUGCCGGUAGGACAGGAAUAAGCAUCGGCUAACUCCGUGCCAGCAGCCGCGGUAAUACGGAGGAUGCAAGCGUUAUCCGGAUUUAUUGGGUUUAAAGGGUGCGCAGGUGGUUUAAUAAGUCAGUGGUGAAAGUCUGCCGCUUAACGGUAGGAUUGCCAUUGAUACUGUUGGACUUGUAUAUGGAUGAGGUAGGCGGAAUGUGUAGUGUAGCGGUGAAAUGCUUAGAUAUUACACAGAACACCGAUUGCGAAGGCAGCUUACUAAUCCAUGAUUGACGCUGAGGCACGAAAGCGUGGGGAUCAAACAG
rnacentral:rRNA from 1 species